rnacentral:rRNA from 1 species
UACAGAGGGGGCAAGCGUUGUUCGGAAUUACUGGGCGUAAAGCGCGUGUAGGCGGCUCUUCAAGUCAGGCGUGAAAGCCCCGGGCUCAACUCGGGAACUGCGCUUGAUACUGUCGAGCUAGAGUGUGGAAGGGGCGAUUGGAAUUCCGUGUGUAGCGGUGAAAUGCGUAGAGAUCGGGAGGAACACCAGUGGCGAAGGCG